GACAGGGGUGCCCGGGGAAUCGGGCUGAGAUCGAACUGGAAAUAAACCCCGGUUCAAACCCUCCGAACCUGAUGCGGUUAGUACCGCCGCAGGGAGUCUGUUUU
rnacentral:ncRNA from 1 species